rnacentral:lncRNA from 1 species
UACUGACAUGAACAUGACCUACCCAGAAUGAGCAGCUGCUACUCGGCCCCAACCUAUCAUUGUAUGUUAAAAAUGUAAGCACAGUGUAGUGGAAUCUUCCAAUUUGGAAAGGAAACCAGAAAUCCAGAUUUUUUGAAAAAAAAUCUGAUUUUUUCAAUGUCCGUUGUUUUUGUUUUUGUUUUUUUUAACAGAUAGUGGGCAAAGAAAAAUUCCACUGUUCCACAUGUGCACUGCCAGCAACCUCUGCUCUCUGGCGAGGUGGUUUACAGUGAGAUUAUGCAUUGCCCUGGUAGAAGAGGAAAAAAGCCAGCAUCAGGUCAGGGCAAAAAUAACAGCCCAUGUUGAACUCUAAAUGGGGACGUCUUGCUAAGUCAAAUUCCCCUCCCCAAGAGACAGUUCCACAGAGGGGCAAUGGAUCAUUCCGCUCUCCUGGUCCCAAGAUUGUGCUGAAGGGAAGAAGGAACAGAAUCUGGAGAUCUGGACUGCUGCCUCUUAGAUAUGCAGAGGUCCACAUCUGCCUGGGGCUACCCCUUGUGGGACUGCAUCCAACCAGGCAGAAAUGGCGAAGACAGUCUAGGAGGAGGAGGAGGUAGGGUGUGAAACAGUCAGGCUCUCUCCAAAUCCCAAGCGUUGACAGCCAUCUUGCCCCAUCCCUGGAAGCCUCUUUGGAAAUCACAUAGGGCUGUGCUGGCUCAUGGGAUGUCCUGUUUGCUUCUGCCUCAGUUACCUUACUUUGCCCAUGGGUCUACCACAGGCGCUACCUCAUUGUGUCUGCUGAGUUUACCUGGGAGGGGGGAACGAAGUUGUCCAAAUCUGCUUGAGCUGAAUGUAUGAUCUAUGCAAAUUCUCUCUCUCCUCUCUCUCUUCCUCUCUGGCUCUCUAACUUAGAAGUUUUUUUAUUUGUUUGUUUUUACCUUGCAAACAAGAUACUGUAUAGGACCCUCUUAAGAUGGAGGAGGGCUUUCUUGCGCCACCUGUGUCUACCCCUCACGUUGUCUUUGGCUCUGGUCUCGCCAAGCUUAUGCAGGGAGAAUGUGGCCUCUCUUCCCUCUCCACUUGGCUGGGAAUAUUCCAACUGCCUCUGCCUACAGACACCACCAGAAAGCGGGUUCUGCACCUUGUCGUCCCCAUCCCUAAUGCCAUCUACUCCAUCCCUCAUGUUCCUCCAACUUGCUUCUCCCAUCCCUCCUUCAAAACAAACAAACAAAAAAAGCCUUAGGUUUCUCCUUUUCGAAAUGUGGCCUUAACAUUAUUUUUGGGAAGCUGACCAUCCAUCCUUUCCCUCCCAUCUCCACCAACAUCGCAGAAGAAAGAGCAUCGUGAAGCUUCUGUGGGCAGCCUCCUAAGGGAGGGGCUGCCAAUCUGUAGUUUGCAGAUGCUAUAGAAAUUGCUUACAAAUGUCGUCUUUAAGAAAAAUGUUCUUAUAUUUUUCCUCUGGGCAAAAUGAAGGCUUGGGUGCUCAUUUCAAGCUCAGCCAACUCCUGAAGCACUCUCUUAGAGCAUAUUGCCGCUGUAAUGGGCUGGCUCAAUUACCGGCAGAGUGCUCGAAAAGGCUUUGCAAACCUCCCCUGCCCCCAAGACUGAGUGACUUUAUGUACUUCAUUCAAGGGUAAAUCAGGAGACGUUCUCCAUUGAUCUCGUCGUCCUUCCUGCCUGGAAAGUGAUAGCACUAAAUAUUCCCGGAUGGGUAGGGUUCUCAAAGGGAUCACCCUUCUCCUACCUUCAGACUCUAUUCUUGACCCUUCCAUUGCUCCAGUGCUGAUGGAGGCCAAAGACAACCCCAGGGUUUUCACAGGAAAUUCACUAGAAUUGUGCGCAAUUGUCUUUGUAGUCCUUUUGCUUUUUUUUUUUUUUUUUUUGUAAUAUUACGUUGUCAAUAGCAUUUGUUUGGGUAUUUGUUUUAGAGGCCUCACUCUAAGUUAUUACCGUCCCUUUCGUUGUUUUCAAAGACAUGUGGUGAUAUAGUUUUUAAAAAUAACUAUUUUGUUAUAGAUCAUAAUAUGCAUAAAACUGUACAGAAAUAUUUUGUAAUGUGUUGAUUUUAAAAAACAGAGAAUCUGUAAAUAAAGUUUUAAAAAAAGAAUUCAAAUGGCACACACUGAAAUAUGUAGAUAUUUUGCUAUUUAUUUAAAGGAGUAUUUUAAGAGAUAUUGAACUAUCUGAAAUUGACCAGUAAUCAAAGUUCCAGUCAUCUGAAUGCUUUUCCUUGAGGUAGAAUGUGAUUCUCAGAAAUGAUUGCAUUACCUGCCCAUUUUUGCACCUUUUCUGUCUUUUUAUUUAGCAGAACAACAACAACAAAAUUGUGCCUUAGCUGUAUUUUUUUGUCUAGGGAAGUUUGUUUCUGUCUGACAAAGCAAAAUUUUUUGCAGAAAACAGUGGAUGUAUUAAAUACUGUAUCAUACCAAAAACACUGCAGGUGUAUAUAGAUGCUUUCUGUCAUACUGUGUUUUCAGAUGCAGAAUUUUAAAAUUAAAAAAAUACUGCCUUUAUG